UCUCCACUCUGGGGUAGGGCCCUCCAGUUUCGCCCCUUUGAAAUUUCAAAUUCCAGUUUGUGGACAAAGUCCUAAACUUUCUCACAAUAUAGGUCCCCAACCACUGACCAAACUCCAGUCCAGGCAGCCAGCAGGCCCAGGGCUGGCCUGGCCCUGCCGCUUCCCUUGGUAGCACUCGAGUGCAGGGGAGGGGUCCUGGGCCAGCUGGGGUCUGCCAGGCCACUUCUGCAGACAGGGACCACCCCACCCGACAGGGACCCCUGCCUCCCAUCUGAGAGGACAGCUCUCUUCCUGGAGCUGGGAUCUGUCGCUUGCUGGUACCAACAGCAGAUAAUCAGGCACAUGACCACUUUCUUGCUUCCUUUGAAGUUAGAGGUGACCAUGUGACAUGUUCUGGCCAAUGAAACGAGAGCAGAAAGAAAGACCCCCGGGUCGCACCUGGACAGGAGGAGCUUGAAGAGCCAGCGCUGGGUACCUCCGGAAGUAAGUGUGGAUGAGGUGCGCCCCCUGCUGGCCCCUGACGGGCAGGUACUGUGAGUGAGCGGUUCGCUCAGCCGCCUUAAGCCCCUGAGAAGGGGCCUUCAGUCACUGCUGCACAGCCUCACCUAACUUGACUGCAUAUGAUCUUUCCAAAGAUCCCUGAUUUUCCUACCACCAUUAUGAUUUUUGUCAUAUCUGAAAACCACCUAUACUCUUACUUAAUAUUUUUCCUACAUCAACUCACUUAUUUUCAUUUAGAUUUAUCUUAGGAAGUGUUAUUACUACCAAAUGAAACACCAGUAUCGUUAAGUAGAAAGCAAUGGGAAAAUAAACGGAAUGAAAUAAACCAUUAUAGUAUAAUACUGCUGCCUUUCGAAGACUCUGGGCCCUUCCUCUGUUCUCUCUUCAUUUAAAAAAAAAAAAAUGGAGGUCCUUAAGUGUGCGGCAAUCUUUUGGGGCCCCAAAAAGCUGGCUGAGAUUGUCAGCUGUUUGGAGGUAGCACAGCAUAGAGGCUGAGAGCACAAAUUCUGGAGCCCGGUUUCCUGGGCUUGAAUUCUGGUUCUGCCACGGACUGGCUGUAUGACCUUAGGUGAAUUACUUAAUUGCUCUGUGACUGUGUGUGUGUGUUUAAUUGGCAAAAGAGGGAUGAUAAUAAUAGGUAUGUCAUUGGGAUGUUGUGGGGAUUUUCUGUGCUAAUAUACAGAAAGGACUUAGUGCCUGGCACACUGUGAGUUCUCCACGGGUGUGAGCUAUUCAGUAAUGGCAGGAUCAAGAGCCACAUGGAUUUGUGGCUGAACUCGAUGAAGAGGAAUGAGAAAUCCUCCACAUUGGUUAAAAAUAAAUCACCUGGAUAGUGUUGCUGAGGAGAGCGGCCUUAGGGGCAGUUGACACAACCAAGUUCUAGAGGUUUUACUUGGCAGCAGCGGUCCACGCCUAACAUCCGGUUUCAUGUGACAUCAGGGAGGACCAAAAGCAAAGACAACAAAAAAAUAAACAGAUGGGACCACAUUAAA